rnacentral:rRNA from 1 species
AACGAACGCUGGCGACAUGCCUAACACAUGCAAGUCGAACGAAGCCUUCGGGCUCAGUGGCGCACGGGUGCGUAACGCGUGGGAAUCUGCCCUUUGGUUCGGAAUAACAGUUGGAAACGACUGCUAAUACCGGAUGAUGACGAAAGUCCAAAGAUUUAUCGCCAGAGGAUGAGCCCGCGUAGGAUUAGCUAGUUGGUGUGGUAAAGGCGCACCAAGGCGACGAUCCUUAGCUGGUCUGAGAGGAUGAUCAGCCACACUGGGACUGAGACACGGCCCAGACUCCUACGGGAGGCAGCAGUGGGGAAUAUUGGACAAUGGGCGAAAGCCUGAUCCAGCAAUGCCGCGUGAGUGAUGAAGGCCCUAGGGUUGUAAAGCUCUUUUACCCGGGAUGAUAAUGACAGUACCGGGAGAAUAGGCCCCGGCUAACUCCGUGCCAGCAGCCGCGGUAA